rnacentral:lncRNA from 1 species
GGAGAAGCUGGGUUCCGUGUGCCCAGUGCUACCAUAAUGCGGAUUCACCCAGCUCCAGUUUGGGCCGUAGUGGAGGAAUUAGGCACAUCAUCAGCUUCCUGAGGGAAUCUAAAGAUAACUCUGGAACAACAAGGCGGGGGUGGGGGUGAGGGUGAGGUUGGGGGACUCGGGGCUGGGAGUGCAGCGCGGCCACAUUGUUUCUCUGGGAACUACAGCCUGCAUAGCCCUCCUGGGAGGAUGCGCCUACGUGCCCAUGUGACCUUGCCCCUUGACCAAGCAGUUUGGAUUGUGGUGGCCACCCCGCCAGGCGGACUUAAUCCCUUGUCUGGAUAUCUGUCUCCAGCAAGCUCCCCAUUUCCUACUUGCUGUUGCUGUUAGAAGUAUGUGUGCAAAGUCACGAUGCUGAAUGUCAGGAGUCUGUAAGUGAGCGCCAAAGGCUUUUUGCCUUUGGAAUAAAAUGAAUAAACUUUUAUGUUUUUAGACUUCU